AACGAACGCUGGCGGCAUGCCUAACACAUGCAAGUCGAACGAAGCCUUCGGGCUUAGUGGCGCACGGGUGCGUAACGCGUGGGAAUCUGCCCCUUGCUUCGGAAUAACAGUUAGAAAUGACUGCUAAUACCGGAUGAUGUCUUCGGACCAAAGAUUUAUCGGCAAGGGAUGAGCCCGCGUAGGAUUAGGUAGUUGGUGGGGUAAAGGCCCACCAAGCCGACGAUCCUUAGCUGGUCUGAGAGGAUGAUCAGCCACACUGGGACUGAGACACGGUCCAGACUCCUACGGGAGGCAGCAGUGGGGAAUAUUGGACAAUGGGGGAAACCCUGAUCCAGCAAUGCCGCGUGAGUGAUGAAGGCCUUAGGGUUGUAAAGCUCUUUUACCAGGGAUGAUAAUGACAGUACCUGGAGAAUAAGCUCCGGCUAACUCCGUGCCAGCCGCCGCCGUAACAC
rnacentral:rRNA from 1 species